UAAGUUUGAUCCUGGCUCAGGAUGAACGCUAGCGGCAGGCCUAAUACAUGCAAGUCGAACGGUUCAUAGCAAUAUGAAUAGUGGCGCACGGGUGCGUAACGCGUAGCCAACCUACCCGAAUCUGGAGGAUAGCCCGCCGAAAGGCGGAUUAAUACCGCAUAAAACUGCAGCGCGGCAUCGUGUAACAGUUAAAGAUUUAUUGGAUUCGGAUGGGGCUGCGUGCCAUUAGCUAGUUGGGGAGGUAACGGCUCACCAAGGCGACGAUGGCUAGGGGAGCUGAGAGGCUGGUCCCCCACACGGGCACUGAGAUACGGGCCCGACUCCCACGGGAGGCAGCAGUGGGGAAUAUUGGACAAUGGGCGAAAGCCUGAUCCAGCCAUGCCGCGUGUGUGAAGAAGGUCUUCGGAUUGUAAAACACUUUAAGUUGGGAGGAAGGGUUGUAACCUAAUACGUUGCAAUCUUGACGUUACCGACAGAAUAAGCACCGGCUAACUCUGUGCCAGCAGCCGCGGUAAUACAGAGGGUGCAAGCGUUAAUCGGAAUUACUGGGCGUAAAGCGCGCGUAGGUGGUUCGUUAAGUUGGAUGUGAAAGCCCCGGGCUCAACCUGGGAACUGCAUUCAAAACUGACGAGCUAGAGUAUGGUAGAGGGUGGUGGAAUUUCCUGUGUAGCGGUGAAAUGCGUAGAUAUAGGAAGGAACACCAGUGGCGAAGCGACCACCUGCACUGAUACUGACACUGAGGUGCGAAAGCGUGGGGAGCAACAGGAUUAAUACCCUGAUAGUCCACGCCGUAAACGAUGUCAACUACCGUUGGGAGCCUUGAGCUCUUAGUGGCGCACCUAACGCAUUAAGUUGACCGCCUG
rnacentral:rRNA from 1 species